rnacentral:lncRNA from 1 species
UAUCACAUCAAAUAUAAUUAAAAAAUAGAAAGGCAAGACGGAUGGUUAGCAUAAGAGAUUUGAUAGUUGAUAUCAGAAGUUUCAAGGUUAAAAGUCUAACUGAUUCAUAUUUUCAAUAAAAGUUGUACCUAAAAAAUAAAGUUCGAUAAUUUCGCAUCUUCAACUAAAUUUAUUUUUAAGAAAAUAAACGAAAUAGAUGAUAUAUUAUGUUUUGUUUUUAGAAAAAAUAAAAAAAGAAAGCAACAUAGUAAAAACU